AGAGUCGAGGAAACUAGGGAAAAUUGGGGCGUAGGGUUUUUGGUCGAAAUCUUCUGGAUCUCGUGGGUAGUUAGGUGGCGAUCCUUCUGGUCUCAUCCUCUCUCUCAUUGGAACCUGUUUUCUUCGUUCCCUCGUCAUGAUUUGAAACUCGUGGUUGGGCACAAAUGCACAGCUUCGAUGGAGAAAAUUUUGAUUUACUACAGAGGGAAAGCUUCAAUUAUAAAUCUUCUCUCUCCAUCAGUCGGUUUGGUUGGGAUUAAGAUCAAUUUGCAUCGUUUCUUUCUGUAUGAGUCGUAUCGGACAGCGUCGGAGGAGAUUUGCUUCGACCCAAGCCAUGGCGGCACCCAAAUCUUAACAUGGUCUUUUUAAUAAACAUGCAAUCACCUUGGCCAUCUAUGCAAAAUGUACUUUAUUUUACCAAAAGCUAUGAAUAGAGGUACUGUUGAAAAGUGUAUCAGAAGAAAGAGUUACCUUUGCUGGAAAUUCUUGGCCAUCUCUUGGAAGUUAUAAAUUUCCUCAACAUGUUGUUUGGAGGUUAAAAUGAUCGACUCAGCUCUCUGCUCCAUCAGGAUUAACAGACUGAACUCUGCGAGUUAUUUUUCUUUAAUAAGGC